rnacentral:rRNA from 1 species
GAUGAACGCUGGCGGCGUGCCUAAUACAUGCAAGUCGAACGGAGAUUGUAGCAAUACAUUCUUAGUGGCGAACGGGUGAGUAACGCGUUGGUGACCUGCCCCAAAGUGAGGGAUAACAGCCCGAAAGGGUUGCUAAUACCUCAUGUGGUCUUUGAGAUCAGAUGCUCUUAGACUAAAGGAUUUAUUCGCUUUGGGAGGGGCCUGCGUCCCAUCAGCUUGUUGGUGAGGUAAUGGCUUACCAAGGCUAUGACGGGUAGGGGACCUGAGAGGGUGACCCCCCACAAUGGAACUGAAACACGGUCCAUACACCUACGGGUGGCAGCAGUAGGGAAUAUUGGUAAUGGGCGAAAGCCUGAACCAGCAACGCCGCGUGUGCGAAGAAGGCCUUCGGGUUGUAAAGCACUUUUUAAGGGGAUGAGGAAGGACAGUACCCUUAGAAUAAGCCUCGGCUAACUACGUG